GAUGAAGAACGUAGCGAAAUGCGAUAAGUAAUGUGAAUUGCAGAAUUCAGUGAAUCAUCGAAUCUUUGAACGCAUCUUGCGCUCCUUGGUAUUCUGAGGAGCAUGCCUGUUUGAGUGUCAUUAAAUUCUCAACUACACUGACUUUGAAUUGGUGUGGCUUGGAUUUGGGGGGAAAAUUGUUGUGGGCUUUUUGUAUAGUCUGCUCCCCUGAAAUUGAUUAGCGGUACCUUUGUGGAACUGUCUACAGGUGUGAUAAUUAUCUACAUCUUAGACAUCUGCUGGAAUGCUGCUUUCUAAACCUUACUUGUAUUGACAAUCUUGACCUCUAAUCAGGUAGGACUACCCGCUGAACUUAAGCAUAUCAUAAGCGGAGGA
rnacentral:misc_RNA from 1 species